UCGCUCCCCCCCACUCGCUCUCUCCCGGCUUUUAGAGUGGCCGGGGGCCACGGAGAGGACCCGAUCGGUUUUUGAAGGCGGUGAAGCAGCGGGCGGACGUGUACUACAAGGUCUUCGCCGCCCGGUACGGGCAGCAGAUCCUCCCCCAUCAAAGUGGUGGUUUCCCCUUUCAUCCUCGCCUACGACGCCGCUGCCUCCGCCCCCGCCGCUUUGGCAUACCCGAGCUUGCCUCUCGCCUCGCCUUCGCCGCCAUCUUCGCACGCUGCGUCUUUCUUUUCGUGAUCAGAAACGGGCCUUCCUUUUUUGAGUUCUUGAUCGGAGAUCCCGGUUCUUUUGAGUUCCUGAUCGAUCUUUUUUUUGUUGUUUUUAAUAAAAGUUCUGGAAAACCCUAGUUCUACAAUAUCUCUGAGAUCUUUGAUCAUAGAUAAUUGCGUUUUUGGAGUUCUUGUUCAGAAGCAAUUACGUUCUCUGAGUUCUUGAUUGGAGAUUGUGUUUAUCGGAGAUUUUCGUUCUUUUAAUCCUUGAAAAUUCCCGUUCUAUAAUAUCUUUGAGUUUUUGACAAGUAGUUACGUCGUUUGAGUUCUUGAACAGAAAUAUUUACGUUCGUUUGAGUUCUAGAAAAAUUUUGUUCUUUUAGUUCUUGAAAGCCUUAAUUAUAAUAUCUGUUAAUUCUUGAGCAGAAAUUACGGCAUUUUGACCAGGUGAUCCGAGAAAUCACUUUCUUUGAGAUCUUAACUGGAGAAUGCGUUUUUUUUUUUCCUGACGUCUUUAAAAAAACCUGAUUUUUGUAGUUUAUCUCCCAACAAAUACCCACACCACACGUAACGCACACAAACACACACAAACCUGAUUUUCUUCUAUGAGUUGGGUUGCAGGUUGUAGCAAUUCUUGGAACCUACCAAUAUUUCCUUGGAGUUUGGAAGGAAGGUGAUCUGCCAGAGAUAAUGCUUCGUUUGGCUUUCUGGUUGAUGUUCUUUCUUGUUUUCAGUAUUAUCUUUUUGUGUUCUUUCUGUCAUGAUUGUACUUGUGGUAUUUAGGAGCCAGUAUUUUCUUGAUCUCCUUGCAGCUUUAUGUAUGGCUUGUGGAUAUUCUAUGGAUAUUUGAUGCUUGUGGCAGCGUCCCUUUUUUAAUAUUCCAAUGUUUUUUUUUUAAAAAAAAAAUUAUAUCAAAAAGGGGACUUCGUACGCUGGAACACAAAAGGAAAUAAUUGACUGUAGGCGUUCAUUACUAGAGAGAAAGUUGUAUGAUUUUAUACUUCAGUUAUAUAGAAAAGUUUGAUAAGCUUAGCUUGGUUUUGAAGUUGCAGCAUAAGGUGCAUAUAAUUUGUUUUAAGUGUUAGGACAGAAUGGAUUUGGUAACUUAUGCUCGUGUGAUUGUUGCCUUUUUGACUAGCUUCAGAGUAAGAAAGCCUCAAUAUCAUUUGCUUCGUUAUAUAUUUAUAUAUUCAGAUGUAGCAAUAAAUUCUCUUAAAAUAAAGGAGAGUGAUAUGAAUAUGUGCCUCCCAAAUCUUAACAAAAUGCUCAGGGUUCAUCAAUGCUCAGCUUUUAACAAUUUUCUAUAUAUUUUUUAUUUAUGCAAAUAUUGAGUAAUUCAGAAUUAUUCAUGCAAUUGUCUUCCUCAAAUAACAUUACCGAGAAAGUUGCAUUCUACUAUCCACUGUAUAUUGAUAUUCUCAUGAUUCAUCAAGCCAUUUGGACUCCAACUUGGACUAAAAUUCCUAAUCUGAAAAUAUAAAUCAUGCAAACUUAAAUCGCCAUAAUGUAGUGUAUGCUUGCUCAUGCUUCGGUAGUCAGUUCCAAUGCCUUUUUAAGGUGCUGGAAGCAUAAUUCUUCCUUUUUUUGACCUUCACUGUAAUAGUAAUGAGCAACCAUCUCCAUUUGUAAUAAUAAAUCAGAACGGACUUAUGCUUAUAAAUAUAAAGUACAUUAUGUUGAUUUACAUAUGGAGUUGUCUUAUAAUUUCCUAGGAAUUCUCGAACAUGCAAUGGUUGGCAAGCAUUACGAUGCACCAUGUGCAAGGGUACAGGGAAGGUGCACCAUGUGCAAGGUUACAGGGAAGGUGCACUAUGUAGUGAAAAUUAUAGCCCAAAAAGGUAGAGUCAUGUCGAUAAUUGAAGUUUUCUUUUCUUGUCUUUUCUUUUUCCAGUAAUGUUAUGGAACUUUAUCUUAAAAAGAAAGAUAUUGUAUAAAAUUUCUGUAUCAAUUGCUAACAGUUGGGAAGUAACUGUUGUUUCAAAAACUUUUCCGUAUAUCAAUUUGAGGAACUACAGGCAAAUAUCCAAAUCUGUAGAUUUAAAUAAUUUCUGGUGAUGUUCUGCACCCAGUACAUAUUUUGUUCAUCUCAACACCUUAUCAACAUUAUUCCAUCAACUCUUCUAGUAUGACAUUAGUCAUCUGUCUUCAUGAACUACAAUUGCUUUAAAAACUGGAAAUUGAAGUAAAAGUUUUAGGCGGAGUGCUCUUAUAUGAAGGUGAUAUACAACAUGAAAAAGAUUACUACUGUCAAUAACUCAACCUUAGAGGUCUAUUUGUCGAGGAUGAGUCCACCCAGUGACCUCCCAGUGCACCAAGCCCAAGUCAUUAGACAACACUCUGUCUCUACUCUGUACUUGUUGACCAGAUCAUGAUAGCACUAUGCCUUUCUAUAGUUUCACUUCUUUGUCAAACCUCACAUGUUUCUUUCCUUGUAAAUGACUGCCAAUUAGAACAAAGAAAAAAGUUUUAUUCCAUUUUCUUCUUGUUAGUACCCACUCUUUUCCAGGGUAGGCUGGUCAUUGCAGAUUGUAGGUUUUCUUGUCUGGUACAAAAACAAUUUCCACUCCACAUCUAUUUUAUAGUUCUGUCUUGUAAAAGAUUUUGAAAUUUUUUAUCAAGUUCUCACCAGACAAUGUAUCUCGUUGAUUUUCAAAUUCUGUUUCAUUGGUCGCUUUGGACUAAAAUGUUAUGAUCUAGCAAUACUCUGGUUUUUUUUUUUGUAACUUGCAAUGGAAAUUCAGUUUUCCAUCCCCACAUUGGAGGCCGUUGAAGAUCCAAAACUAUCCUUGCCUUAUAGGUGCUCCUACACCAAUCCGUCACAUCCUUGCUCCUAUAAUGCAACUCAAAUGUAUAUGUCCCUCCCAGUCAUCUCGAGAAGUACUUAAGAUAGAAACUGCAAAUGGACAAAGCCAUACACUUAGCUCUCCAAAAUAUCAGCUUUUCUUCUAUUUACAAUCUCUGGCCAAUUCUAAGCUUCUCCUAGGCCUUCUGCUCAACUUAAUGUUGCCAGAUCACAGUCCUAGCAUAAUCUUCUUUCUGAAGUCUACCCAUAUUCACCUUUCUUCAUCAGCUUACGUCAUCGUUGCUUGUAUUUCCUAACCUUCAAAGCCACCUUUCAGUUAACUCAGUUUCAAUUCCUUAACUCUUCCAAUUCGCUCCUCCCUCGUUUGCUACAAUCUGCUUUGAAUUCUCAAAGUUGUGACUUCUAUUAUUCUCCAUACUACUCCUUGGUGGAAAAAUUCCUACUAGGAAUAGAGACAAGUAUUAAUUAAAUGUGGAAAGUCUCCUGCCAUUGUAAAGCAGUUCACUAUUAUGCUGACAGUCUUGUUAUCAAUCCUCUCCUAAUUGGGUUGAAAAAAUAUGAAAAAUAAACAAUUAAAUAAUCAUGAUAAGCAGUAGAAAUUCACCUUAAUCUGUGACAUGCAAAAAGCAUCUAGGAACUGUUGCAUAUUUAUAAGUAGACUGGAACAAGUUUUGAGGAUAACAUGUGAGAGAACUUAAUUUUUGGUGUUUUAAGUCAUUAGUGUGUCUGUAGGUGACAAUGGAGAUAGUAUCUUGAGAGAGAACUUGAAAGAGAACUUAAUUUUCUCAUAAACCUUUCGUCAGUUUUCUUAGAACGAAGCACCCAUAGUUGACCUUCAGGGCAAACAGACUUAUUUAUUACGAGAUAUUGUUAUUUCAUAUCUUCUUUCUUACAUAAUCCCUCAUGUUACUUAUUAUAGCCUGUAGGUUUGACUCCACUAUAGUUUGUGCAGUAGUGUAUGCUUCUUUUAUCCUUUAAAAUGGUAGCUGAGCAAAUCAGACACAAAGAACCUGAGAUUGGAUGGCCGUUCAGUAUAAAGGACAGCAGGAUCUUUGUUUUGUUCUGGUCUUGGACUGCUCCUAUAGAAUGUGUCUUUUUUUAUUAUGGUAUUAUCUGGUGAGACAAGUAUUUAGUGUGCUUUAUAUUAGACAAUAGCAUGCAUGUCAAUUUGUGUUUCAGGUAUCUAGGCGUCAUGGUUACCAUCUCAGCCAAGAUAUUGGUUUUUAACAGUACAGUAAGAUGUAUGUAGUAAAUCAUCUCUUGUUAUCUUGGAUAUGAACAGUUGUAUUUCCGCAUAUUAGCUGAUUAAAUGUUAAUAUUUCACCUGAGAUUUUCAAUCAGUUAAUUAUAUCUUGUUGUUUUUUUAAUAUUUAUACUUGAGAAACAUUAAUAUUAAAUUUAAAAUGAUUAUUUCCACUUCUACUAUAUCAGCUGAUAUUUCAAUAUCUUGAUUGUUAUAUAUCUCUCAAGAUAUUGAGUUUCUUAGUUUAUGUAAUCAAUGAUAAACCAAUAUCGAGGUUAUCUUGGUAUCUCUCACCCAUCGGGAUAGGUGAAAUAUUAGAGGUCCAGAUAUUGUUUGGCAGGAGCCUUUCCAUAUGGAAAAAGCAAUAUAGUUUGUAAUUUCACAUAGGAAGUUACUAUUCAUAGGACCAUUUUGAACAUGGAUCAUAGUGCUUUUACCCUGUUCCUCAUACCCUUGAUCAUAGCAUGGGGGAUCCGAAGAUUACGGCCUUCUGGUUAAUUACCAUACCUCAAGUUGGGAGAAUUCAACUUUAAUGAUCAUGUCAAGCAGAAACUUUGGUGGGCAUACAAGGUUGGUCUGUUACAUUCUUAAAUUAUCGGCAUGCACCUUAUUUUUUAUUUACUUUUAGAAAUUCUUUUUGAUUACUAGCCUUGUGCAUGUUACAUGAGGACCCAUAUUUGAACUUACAUAAACCAAAUUGGAGGUUAAUUCACAACUUGACAUAUGCAUAAAACGAAAAUUAGCUUGAUCUAGAUUUCAGUUACAAAUGAAAUCAUCAAAUCUUUUAAGAAACUUUACAUGAAACAUGGCAAAUGUGCAUAACCACCAAACUGAACAAGGUUAUCAAAUUCACAAAAGGCUAUCUUAUUCAGGAUCUCAUUUUGUUGCUCAUCAACCAAAAAUAAAUAAAUAAAGGAUACCAAAUCCAACAUUCUAUAUUACAUGAAACCCAGAACUCCUGGGCUCAAAUCUAGCUCCAUGAUAAUGAGGCCUGCUAAGUAAAGCAGGGUCUAAACUCACAAUUAGCCAAAUUCACUCUGCCUUUUGUAACAUUACAUAGUUUUUAUUCAUAACAUUAUGGUACACUUAUAUCUUUCUAAAAUAUUUGAACGGCCUCAUGAUUAUUUGAAUAUUCUAUGCAAACUGUAAGCAUGAUUUUGAAACCUUUUUUUAUUCGAACAUCAUAGAACAUCAAUACAAGGGGUAAAAGUUGUGUACUGUUUUCUUUCUGUCCUGUAACUAUGUUCUGUUUUCCACCUGGUGAUAUAUUAUGCACCCACAUAUGGAAUUUUUUUUACUAUUUCGCAUCUUAGAGUUUCUAAUCAGUUUAUGUGUUCAUAUUGAUUUGUGACGUCUUGUAUAUGAGUUUCUAAUGGUUGCUAUGUGACAACCUGGUUGGGAGCACCUGCAGGAUGUGAGUAUCAACCUGUUUUCGAGAAUUUUAUGUACUCUUUCAGAAAUAUGAAGUGCAAACCUCGUCUAAUGAUACCAAAUGUAUAUGUUUUCAAGAAACUGUAUCAUCUUUCCUCUCUUCUUGUCUUCGAGGUAGUUGCAGUAUCAAACCAUAAAAUAUAGUCCAUUAAUGCCCCUACUGAUAUUGGUGAGUGUAUUAGCUGACUAGAACAUUGAUAGUUCAUAUUGGUGCUUGAUAAAAGCUUUUGCGACUAAUAUAUGCUUUAAAUCAAAUAUGCGGUUAACGUUCAUCCAUAAGCUCUAGGGACGGAUUUUUUGCAUAUUAUUUGGUCUAUCUAUACAACUUCCUUUCCUAUGAUUUUUUUCAAAGAAGAUACACAACUAUAAUCAUAACCAUCCAUUCUUUUCCAAAGAGAUACAUGAUGAACUAUAUAUCAGCUAAUUUCCCAUGUAUUUUUCUUAUAGGAUAUUCUUUUAAAGAGAAUUUUUGAAGAUAGGAAUAAAUGUAGCUUAUUCAAGGAAAGUGCAAAAAGUAACAGAGAAUAAGAAAAUCAAAUGUAGGAAUGUACUCUGGAUUAAGUUGAUAAAAAGGAAAUAUAUCUUUGCUGCAGUAAUAUACAGCGCUGAAGGAGGACACGAGCAACUGAACUCAUUUAUAUUUGAUUAAAUUUGUCAUUGUUAGUCUGAAAUGAUCUGACCACAAUGAUCCAGUGUAUUGAAGAGAUUACUUUAAGUUAUCAUGGUCCUACAUCUGUCCAAGUUAUCAUUUAAUAACUGAAUUAUUUAGAAGUAAAAAUAAACAAAUGCAUUUUAAACAAUCUAAGGACUAGUGAGGUGUCUAAUACAAUCACCAUAUAGAGGAUUGAUGAAAAUGUGCUUCACAAGUGUCAAUGAGAUGUUUAACCACCCCCCUCCCCCCACCCCAACAGACACAAAUAAAAAACGAAACACAUCCUCGCAAAAAAUCUUUUUUCCUCGCGCUCUUCUUUCCUAUCAAGUUAGAUUCAAAAUUUCAGUAAGAAAAAGUUUCGUACUUAUAUACAUAUAUAUUUUAGUUCAAACGAGAUUUGUUGGAGUUAUUAGAAUUUAAAACUUUUAAUAAGUGGGAUUUAGGAAGUAAGAGAUGUGAUCCGUGAUAGUGGAUGAUAAGGCUUUGAUUUAGGAAUUUAACCUAACUUUUUGCAUGGGCUGUCAGACUGAAUAAUAUUUUUGUGAUUAAGAGGGAGAUCUACAUUUUGGAAUGGUAAAACUUUGAUUUUUUUUUUUUGUGCUUCUGGUGGUAUAUGCGGGAAGAAACCAAACUAGAAGGUACAAACAAGAUCCAUAAUGUAUAACCCUGCAGACCGUCAAGUUCUUUCACCCAAAAGCUUAAGUUAGAGGCCCUUGAAUUUUUAUAUUUCAUUGAAUAUGAUAUUUUCUUUGCUUCUAAUUGAUCCACCAGUUUUAAAGACGAGAGAUCCAGAUGAUAUGCCUCAUAUUUAACAUGUUUCAUGACAGUAAUAAAAUUGAGCUGUCUGUUAGUCCUGUCUCAGAUGCUCACCAAUAUUCCACCACACCCAAGUAACUAAUCCAAUAAAGUAUGUUACAUUCUUUUUUUCCUUAUAAAUUUUUUCAUAAAUCUUCCAACCCUCAUUCUGUAAAAUAAUUCUGCGACCGUUGACCACUUAGAGUGGAAUUUUCAGAAAAGUUUUUGGCUCUAAAACACUAUGUGGAAUUAGGAAUAUAGUCAGAUCUGCUACAUGAUUUGGUCACCAACAUAUCCUGUUGGUACUAUAUCUGCUUGUGUAUAUGUGUGUGUUUUUUGUGUAAAUUUCAAAUUUGUUAUAUGCUUCGCAACUGUAUGUUGUGUUGUUGCCUUUUCCGCAAUGAAAUGAAACUGCUUCCAUUUAUUCUGCAUUGCUCUUGUUAGGAGGUCAUAAAGGAAGUAAUGAAACAUGUACCCAAGUAAUUUUCAUUGUUUCCCAGGAGUACAGCACAUGUGGAGCUAAUUUAAAAUCUUCCAGAAAGCUUCAUAGCAAGGAUGCAGGUAGGGGUAGGCUAAAGUGUUAACCUUCCUUCUAGAGACCCAUAUCCUACUGGGAAACACUGCAAAGAAUUUUUGAUGGUAGAAGGUAUGCUCUAGGAACGAGGAGCAAUCGGAAUAGCUUGAGAUUUGUCAUUCCUGUUCAUGUCAGAAACUGGAAGUUGGACAGCUACUAUCAACUUAUAUGUCAAAUCUGCAUGAGGCCAGUUGCUUGCUAGUAGAGUUCUAAUUGCUCUAUCAGUAGAGUAAGGAAAUCUGUUUCCUGAAGAUGACCCCGUGGUGAAGAUGGUGGUUAUUCUAAAGAAGAGUCUAAGGUAGUCAUAUGAGCAAACUGUUUCCUUUAGGCCUUACUGUUGUAUUGUCUCAUCAUUCACAUGCCCUGUAAUUCUGAGGCGGGAAAUGCUCCUUUUAUUUUUGUUUUUUUUCCUUCCUUUCUUUUUUUGGGCCAUUGAUAUGUCAAGAUACUGGAUUGUACCUAUAUCAUGCAGGCAAUUGAAAAUUUAGGGCCCUUCUGGUAUUGCUUUUA